GCCAGGGAUGCUGCUAAGUAUCCAACCAUGGAGAGGACAGGCCCCCAUGACAAAAUAUCCGGUCCCAAAUGCCCGCAGUGCCAAGGUGAGCAGCCCUGCAUUGAACCAGCCAGCUAUUCAUGUAUUUGCUCAAGCUUGUAUCCAUCCAUCACGCCCUGUGUUCCUGGCAAGGUUGGGAAUAGGACGCUGGUGAGUCAUAUGGCCUCUGCUCUCCGGUACAAUCCAGUGGAGACACAGGUGAGCAGAGAGCCAGUUCCAAGAGUGGGACAAAGGCGGUGAUGGAGACAUUCAAAGCAAAUGAGGGCCCAGAGAAGGGGCUCCUAGCACGGAUUUUGAGGGAUCAGCGGAAAUGUCCAAGAGGAAGGCAAGGAGACCUGCCUGUUAGCUGAGUCUCUGGGAAGGAAGAAACUAAAGUCUACAUAUCUCAGCAAAAGGAGAAAGAGAGGGAGAGAGACUGAAGCUCUUCCAGGAAAACACACAAGCGCCAUCAGCCUGAGAAAACGGAUGAAUUGAUGAGUGCACACAGCGUUCGUUGGCAAAAUCACCAAGCCUGCACAAAAAGAAAAUAAUGAUUCUGUGCAUUCCCAGGCUUGAUUAAACAGUAAUUAUGCAUCAAAAGCUUGCUAAAUGUCCCUCUUACAAAACCACCCAGCUAGGCAAUUUUUCUUUCACAUUUAAUAGCAACUAUUCUCGUA